UUCUGACCAUCAAUUCUUGCUAUGAAAUAUUUAACAUUUGAAUGAUAUUCAUGAAAGAGCAUGUUGACUAGUGAAUUGUUUGUUUUGCAGAAAAGUGCGCAAAGGCACUAUAAACUUCAAGAUUCGGCCGGACUGCCAAACGCGACGAGACUUGGGGCUUGAACGAGAGAACGAGGGACCCGAGCGAGAAGAAAAGAAGUAACCGAGGGGUUGAAGAAUGAUAAGGAUCUUCUUGUGAAGAAGGAAGAAGAGAUGAAGGGCCAAUUAGCAAAGUGGCAGAUGAGAGGAGGGGAUCAAAAUCCCUAGCAGCCUCCAUUCCCAAACCGGGCCUGGCUACACACAUCUCUCCCUCACCCCUUCUUCUCCACCUCCGGCCGCCGCCACGGCCAGGCCGGCGUGGUGGUGCGCUCCUCACCACCGCGCCUCCACCUUCACCGCGACACCACCACGCUGCUGCUCCUCCUUCUUCUCCUCAACCUCCUGCUGCUGCCUCCUCUUCUCCAAGCCCCUCUGCUUCUUCUCCAUCACGAAACUGCUGCCACUCUCUUGCUGCGCCCUGCUGCUUCUUCUCACGCUGCUGCUGCUCUCUAUCCCCACGUCCCUGCUGCUGCAUCUUCUCCUUCUCCUUACCUCGCUGCUGCUCCUCCUCUCACCCUGCUGCUCUACUUCUUCUCUGAACCUCGCUUGCUGCUACUUCCCCUACCUCGCUUCCUUACCUCCGUUGCUGUUGCUUCUCUUCUGAACCACAAACUGCUGCUGCUCCUCUGAACCCCUACUGCUACUGCUCCUAAUCUUCUCUCCAACCUCCUGUUGUCUCUCUCUUUCUCUCUUUCCCCCUCUCUCUGAAAUAUCUGUGCAAUUGAGAUGUUUGAGACCUUGUAAGGUUCAGACUUUGUAAAAUUCAGAAUUGAGAUGUGUAUGGCGUGUAUUGUUUACAUGACUAGUACUCAAAUUGCUAUGUGUUUAGUUUCGUACUUUUAAAUAUAGUGCAUCUUUUUAUGUGUUCUUACUAGUUAAUGUCCAGUUGAUCAGAGAAUGUUAGGUCAGUGUGAUUUUGCUCUGUGAAUUAGUAUUCUGCCAUCCUAUAUGUGUAUUCAUGCAUGUGUGUUUGUCCCUGUACUAGUUAAUUUCUAGUCCUAGUAUUGUUAUCCUGACUUUUUAUUCCCUGUUAGUAGUCCCUUUAGUAGAGCUCAAUCAUCUAUAGUAAGUUCCCCUUUGUCCUGCUGAUUGGUUGUGUGCCUUAUUAAAAUACAAAAAUACCAGAUCGAUAGUGAGUGUAUUCUAAACCUCCCUUUGCUAUUUUGCAUUGUCUUUGUGGAUUAUCUUAGGGAACAAUCUUAAAUAGUUUAGGUUUUUUUUGCUGUUUUUAUCACUCAAAAUUGUAUUACCUAGCUUUAGCCGAAUAUAGUUGCCGUCGCCUAGUCCCUGAGGAGAACACGACACUCGCAGUUUGGGCGAAAAACCCCACUACACUUACAAUUGAUCACUUUUGCGCCGUUGCCGGGGACUAGCGUCGAACGAUUGUGUGAAGCUAUAGACUAGGCUUAGUAUAGUUUUUGUUUAAAUUUCCAUUCAAAUUUAUUUCUGUGCUUCUUUUACCUUUUUACUUUUUGUUGCUUCGGCUUAUUAGGAUACUAACUUUCUGACUAGUGUUUACUGUUUAUGAGUGUUUGUAGGAAAUCUGAACAAAUUGCAGGUUGUUCUAUAGUUACACUCGGUUAAGAUGGCAUUGCUUCGUGAUCUUUGGAUGCCCAAAAGUCAGUGCUAUAUCACAGGACCAAUUUGGCCAACUAUUGAGGCAGAGAACUUCGAGCUGAAACCUAGUCUUAUUGCUUUGGUUCAACAACAACAGUUUGGAGGACUGCCUACUGAGGAUCCCUAUGAGCACUUACACCGAGUCAUGGAGUAUUCAGAUACAGUCAAGUACCAUGGAGUUCCUCAAGAUGCAAUCAUGUGCAGGUUGUACACAUUCUCUCUCCGUGAUGAUGCUCGUGCUUGGUAUCGAUCCUUGCCAUCAAGGUCAUACAGUUGGAAUGAGAUAUCACGAGCUUUCUUGGAUAGAUAUUUCCCACUACACAAGCAGUCUGCGAUUCGAGAUGAGAUCUUCAAUUUCGUUCAGCGUGAAUACGAGAGCUUGUAUGAUGCAUGGGAGAGAUACAAGGCUUUAUUCAGGAGAUGUCCUAACCACGGGCUUGAGAGAUGGUUAGAGUUGCAGAUAUUCUAUAGAGGAUUGACUUCGGACACUCGAGCUUACGUCGAUAUGGCAGCGGGUGGAGCUAUUACAAACAAGACACUUGAUGACGCUUUUCUGCUGAUUGAGAGUAUAGCCUUCCACCAACUUCAGUGGUACAAUGAGAAGCCCAUCUCUGAUUCAGUUGCUUGUUUGCAACAAAUCACUUCAUCUCAGCAAGAAUCUCUUACACAAAAGUCGGAACCAGUUUCUCCGUGUAACAAGAUUGAGCUUUCAUGGAUUAUCUUUGAUGAUGAUGACACCAUCCUAGUUGACACACACACUUCAGAUCAUAUGGAUACUAGUGUUGGAGAUUUAGUUUUGCAUUGUGAUGAUUCUUCCAUGGAUGAGCCAGAGCUGCAGUUAGUUGUUUUUUAUAUUGAGGAGUCACCUUUAGUUGAUAUUGAUCAUGUGCUGCUAGAGCCAGAUAUGGAGAAGUUCAGCUUCAAUGAUUUAGCCGCAUUGAUUCCUCAACACUUGAGCCUGAGAUGGAGAGCUUCAUGGUUAAUUAUGAUGAGGUGGAUUCAGAUGUCAAGGAGCCAAGCUCUACUAUUUCACUUGUUGACACGAGUCCGGUGGAAAUUUCUACAACCACACCUCACUUGGCAUCUUCAAUUGAGGUAGUCCUGAAGCUUCUUCCUAACUAUCUCAGGUAUUAUCUCAGCUUUCUGGAUAAGUUAUGUCAUAUCGCUGAUAUUGCCUAUGCACCAUGUGACUUGUUGUUGAUACAUGUUCCUGAUUUGCUCAAUAGAUAUACUUAUAUGAUAGGGUACUCUAUCGAUGACUUAGAGGGCAUUCUCUCUNNNNNNNNNNUCACUUGUAUUGGCUUGAUUGUUGAGUGUUCUUUCAGGUUGAUGCUUGUGCACCAUUUACUGCGAGUUGACAGAGUUCGAGAUGACAUUCCCUGGGAUCCUGGUGGAUUCACGGCAUGGUGAUGAGGAGAAGCAAUGGGCACAUGCGAAGAAGAGUGAAGCUGGAGCAGGCAUGGGGAUAGAGAAGCAAAAAGAGAAGAGCUGCAGUUUAGAGAGCGUUGAGCGAGUGCUACUUCCUAUAUAAACCCGGUGAGCUGUUUCAUGACCCAUUCUGAAUAUAUCAUCCAUUAUACAUGCUGAAAUCAAUUGCUAUUUGGGUUGCUUGAGCCAUUUCUUAAAUGUCGUCCCACUGAAUUUUACCUUUGACAUAUGGUGCUUGAUGUGAAUAUGUGAACUGAAUUGUGAAUGCCUUGUAAACUAGUGAUCUACAUACUGCUUGCUUUGCUGAAAUUAGUGAAAGUUAUUAGUUUUGAGUGCUCAAAUCCCUAGUACACUGGAAAACUUCAUCAUUUUCUGCAUUUACUUUGAUACACCUAGAUCAUCAAUUGUUAGAUGCUGAUUUUGUGCCAAGUGUGUUCCCCUUCAGAGCAAUCAUUCACCACUAUGGACUAGCAUACUAUGUUCCCUGGAUCGGUAGUAUGUGAACCAGACUUGGAUGAGUGAUGAUUCUUGUUUCCUUUUGUAUUCAUUUGUUAAAAAAGUAAUAAUGAAUAAAUAAGUCUGACUACCUACAGUAGCAUAUCAUGUUCCCUGGAUCGGUGGCAUGUGAAAUCGGGUUAGCUUGGGCAGUAAUUAAUAAUAAAAAUGUAAUUGUCGAACCAGGUGUAUACCAUGUUCUCGGGAUCGGUGGUAUGUUCCUUUGGGGAGACAAACAAAAAAAAACUAAUAAUUGGUCGAGCCAGGUGUAUACCAUGUUCUCGGGAUCGGUGGUAUGUUGUUUUGGUGAGAUCGAUAAAAUAUUAUCAUUACUUCCUUCAAAUUCAAUAAGUGCUUCAACCAUAAUGUUAUGUUCCGGGUAAUAAGUUUUUUUUGGGAUCAUGCUCUCUUUAGGAACCCUUUGGCACAAUCAGCAUUUGAACUUGUUGAUCCACUUUUAUCUUUGUAAAAGUUUAAAAUGAUUGAGUUUACUAGUGUCCUAUUGCUCUGUAGCACUCUUAACCAUUGAUUUUCACUAGCUAAGCCCAAAGCAUGCAUUGUUUGGAGAUUUACUUCACGGGGACAUUCUCUAGUCAGUUCACUUUUCACUAUCUUGCCUUUGUCAUAUUCCUUUGCUUGAGGACAAGCAAAGAUUUAAGUGUGGGGGAACUUGAUAAGCACAUUUCAUAUACAUAAUUUUGGCAUAGAAAUAUACCAUUUGUGGAGUUCUGACCAUCAAUUCUUGCUAUGAAAUAUUUAACAUUUGAAUGAUAUUCAUGAAAGAGCAUGUUGACUAGUGAAUUGUUUGUUUUGCAGAAAAGUGCGCAAAGGCACUAUAAACUUCAAGAUUCGGCCGGACUGCCAAACGCGACGAGACUUGGGGCUUGAACGAGAGAACGAGGGACCCGAGCGAGAAGAAAAGAAGUAACCGAGGGGUUGAAGAAUGAUAAGGAUCUUCUUGUGAAGAAGGAAGAAGAGAUGAAGGGCCAAUUAGCAAAGUGGCAGAUGAGAGGAGGGGAUCAAAAUCCCUAGCAGCCUCCAUUCCCAAACCGGGCCUGGCUACACACAUCUCUCCCUCACCCCUUCUUCUCCACCUCCGGCCGCCGCCACGGCCAGGCCGGCGUGGUGGUGCGCUCCUCACCACCGCGCCUCCACCUUCACCGCGACACCACCACGCUGCUGCUCCUCCUUCUUCUCCUCAACCUCCUGCUGCUGCCUCCUCUUCUCCAAGCCCCUCUGCUUCUUCUCCAUCACGAAACUGCUGCCACUCUCUUGCUGCGCCCUGCUGCUUCUUCUCACGCUGCUGCUGCUCUCUAUCCCCACGUCCCUGCUGCUGCAUCUUCUCCUUCUCCUUACCUCGCUGCUGCUCCUCCUCUCACCCUGCUGCUCUACUUCUUCUCUGAACCUCGCUUGCUGCUACUUCCCCUACCUCGCUUCCUUACCUCCGUUGCUGUUGCUUCUCUUCUGAACCACAAACUGCUGCUGCUCCUCUGAACCCCUACUGCUACUGCUCCUAAUCUUCUCUCCAACCUCCUGUUGUCUCUCUCUUUCUCUCUUUCCCCCUCUCUCUGAAAUAUCUGUGCAAUUGAGAUGUUUGAGACCUUGUAAGGUUCAGACUUUGUAAAAUUCAGAAUUGAGAUGUGUAUGGCGUGUAUUGUUUACAUGACUAGUACUCAAAUUGCUAUGUGUUUAGUUUCGUACUUUUAAAUAUAGUGCAUCUUUUUAUGUGUUCUUACUAGUUAAUGUCCAGUUGAUCAGAGAAUGUUAGGUCAGUGUGAUUUUGCUCUGUGAAUUAGUAUUCUGCCAUCCUAUAUGUGUAUUCAUGCAUGUGUGUUUGUCCCUGUACUAGUUAAUUUCUAGUCCUAGUAUUGUUAUCCUGACUUUUUAUUCCCUGUUAGUAGUCCCUUUAGUAGAGCUCAAUCAUCUAUAGUAAGUUCCCCUUUGUCCUGCUGAUUGGUUGUGUGCCUUAUUAAAAUACAAAAAUACCAGAUCGAUAGUGAGUGUAUUCUAAACCUCCCUUUGCUAUUUUGCAUUGUCUUUGUGGAUUAUCUUAGGGAACAAUCUUAAAUAGUUUAGGUUUUUUUUGCUGUUUUUAUCACUCAAAAUUGUAUUACCUAGCUUUAGCCGAAUAUAGUUGCCGUCGCCUAGUCCCUGAGGAGAACACGACACUCGCAGUUUGGGCGAAAAACCCCACUACACUUACAAUUGAUCACUUUUGCGCCGUUGCCGGGGACUAGCGUCGAACGAUUGUGUGAAGCUAUAGACUAGGCUUAGUAUAGUUUUUGUUUAAAUUUCCAUUCAAAUUUAUUUCUGUGCUUCUUUUACCUUUUUACUUUUUGUUGCUUCGGCUUAUUAGGAUACUAACUUUCUGACUAGUGUUUACUGUUUAUGAGUGUUUGUAGGAAAUCUGAACAAAUUGCAGGUUGUUCUAUAGUUACACUCGGUUAAGAUGGCAUUGCUUCGUGAUCUUUGGAUGCCCAAAAGUCAGUGCUAUAUCACAGGACCAAUUUGGCCAACUAUUGAGGCAGAGAACUUCGAGCUGAAACCUAGUCUUAUUGCUUUGGUUCAACAACAACAGUUUGGAGGACUGCCUACUGAGGAUCCCUAUGAGCACUUACACCGAGUCAUGGAGUAUUCAGAUACAGUCAAGUACCAUGGAGUUCCUCAAGAUGCAAUCAUGUGCAGGUUGUACACAUUCUCUCUCCGUGAUGAUGCUCGUGCUUGGUAUCGAUCCUUGCCAUCAAGGUCAUACAGUUGGAAUGAGAUAUCACGAGCUUUCUUGGAUAGAUAUUUCCCACUACACAAGCAGUCUGCGAUUCGAGAUGAGAUCUUCAAUUUCGUUCAGCGUGAAUACGAGAGCUUGUAUGAUGCAUGGGAGAGAUACAAGGCUUUAUUCAGGAGAUGUCCUAACCACGGGCUUGAGAGAUGGUUAGAGUUGCAGAUAUUCUAUAGAGGAUUGACUUCGGACACUCGAGCUUACGUCGAUAUGGCAGCGGGUGGAGCUAUUACAAACAAGACACUUGAUGACGCUUUUCUGCUGAUUGAGAGUAUAGCCUUCCACCAACUUCAGUGGUACAAUGAGAAGCCCAUCUCUGAUUCAGUUGCUUGUUUGCAACAAAUCACUUCAUCUCAGCAAGAAUCUCUUACACAAAAGUCGGAACCAGUUUCUCCGUGUAACAAGAUUGAGCUUUCAUGGAUUAUCUUUGAUGAUGAUGACACCAUCCUAGUUGACACACACACUUCAGAUCAUAUGGAUACUAGUGUUGGAGAUUUAGUUUUGCAUUGUGAUGAUUCUUCCAUGGAUGAGCCAGAGCUGCAGUUAGUUGUUUUUUAUAUUGAGGAGUCACCUUUAGUUGAUAUUGAUCAUGUGCUGCUAGAGCCAGAUAUGGAGAAGUUCAGCUUCAAUGAUUUAGCCGCAUUGAUUCCUCAACACUUGAGCCUGAGAUGGAGAGCUUCAUGGUUAAUUAUGAUGAGGUGGAUUCAGAUGUCAAGGAGCCAAGCUCUACUAUUUCACUUGUUGACACGAGUCCGGUGGAAAUUUCUACAACCACACCUCACUUGGCAUCUUCAAUUGAGGUAGUCCUGAAGCUUCUUCCUAACUAUCUCAGGUAUUAUCUCAGCUUUCUGGAUAAGUUAUGUCAUAUCGCUGAUAUUGCCUAUGCACCAUGUGACUUGUUGUUGAUACAUGUUCCUGAUUUGCUCAAUAGAUAUACUUAUAUGAUAGGGUACUCUAUCGAUGACUUAGAGGGCAUUCUCUCUGUCACUUGUAUUGGCUUGAUUGUUGAGUGUUCUUUCAGGUUGAUGCUUGUGCACCAUUUACUGCGAGUUGACAGAGUUCGAGAUGACAUUCCCUGGGAUCCUGGUGGAUUCACGGCAUGGUGAUGAGGAGAAGCAAUGGGCACAUGCGAAGAAGAGUGAAGCUGGAGCAGGCAUGGGGAUAGAGAAGCAAAAAGAGAAGAGCUGCAGUUUAGAGAGCGUUGAGCGAGUGCUACUUCCUAUAUAAACCCGGUGAGCUGUUUCAUGACCCAUUCUGAAUAUAUCAUCCAUUAUACAUGCUGAAAUCAAUUGCUAUUUGGGUUGCUUGAGCCAUUUCUUAAAUGUCGUCCCACUGAAUUUUACCUUUGACAUAUGGUGCUUGAUGUGAAUAUGUGAACUGAAUUGUGAAUGCCUUGUAAACUAGUGAUCUACAUACUGCUUGCUUUGCUGAAAUUAGUGAAAGUUAUUAGUUUUGAGUGCUCAAAUCCCUAGUACACUGGAAAACUUCAUCAUUUUCUGCAUUUACUUUGAUACACCUAGAUCAUCAAUUGUUAGAUGCUGAUUUUGUGCCAAGUGUGUUCCCCUUCAGAGCAAUCAUUCACCACUAUGGACUAGCAUACUAUGUUCCCUGGAUCGGUAGUAUGUGAACCAGACUUGGAUGAGUGAUGAUUCUUGUUUCCUUUUGUAUUCAUUUGUUAAAAAAGUAAUAAUGAAUAAAUAAGUCUGACUACCUACAGUAGCAUAUCANNNNNNNNNNGAGUUCUGACCAUCAAUUCUUGCUAUGAAAUAUUUAACAUUUGAAUGAUAUUCAUGAAAGAGCAUGUUGACUAGUGAAUUGUUUGUUUUGCAGAAAAGUGCGCAAAGGCACUAUAAACUUCAAGAUUCGGCCGGACUGCCAAACGCGACGAGACUUGGGGCUUGAACGAGAGAACGAGGGACCCGAGCGAGAAGAAAAGAAGUAACCGAGGGGUUGAAGAAUGAUAAGGAUCUUCUUGUGAAGAAGGAAGAAGAGAUGAAGGGCCAAUUAGCAAAGUGGCAGAUGAGAGGAGGGGAUCAAAAUCCCUAGCAGCCUCCAUUCCCAAACCGGGCCUGGCUACACACAUCUCUCCCUCACCCCUUCUUCUCCACCUCCGGCCGCCGCCACGGCCAGGCCGGCGUGGUGGUGCGCUCCUCACCACCGCGCCUCCACCUUCACCGCGACACCACCACGCUGCUGCUCCUCCUUCUUCUCCUCAACCUCCUGCUGCUGCCUCCUCUUCUCCAAGCCCCUCUGCUUCUUCUCCAUCACGAAACUGCUGCCACUCUCUUGCUGCGCCCUGCUGCUUCUUCUCACGCUGCUGCUGCUCUCUAUCCCCACGUCCCUGCUGCUGCAUCUUCUCCUUCUCCUUACCUCGCUGCUGCUCCUCCUCUCACCCUGCUGCUCUACUUCUUCUCUGAACCUCGCUUGCUGCUACUUCCCCUACCUCGCUUCCUUACCUCCGUUGCUGUUGCUUCUCUUCUGAACCACAAACUGCUGCUGCUCCUCUGAACCCCUACUGCUACUGCUCCUAAUCUUCUCUCCAACCUCCUGUUGUCUCUCUCUUUCUCUCUUUCCCCCUCUCUCUGAAAUAUCUGUGCAAUUGAGAUGUUUGAGACCUUGUAAGGUUCAGACUUUGUAAAAUUCAGAAUUGAGAUGUGUAUGGCGUGUAUUGUUUACAUGACUAGUACUCAAAUUGCUAUGUGUUUAGUUUCGUACUUUUAAAUAUAGUGCAUCUUUUUAUGUGUUCUUACUAGUUAAUGUCCAGUUGAUCAGAGAAUGUUAGGUCAGUGUGAUUUUGCUCUGUGAAUUAGUAUUCUGCCAUCCUAUAUGUGUAUUCAUGCAUGUGUGUUUGUCCCUGUGCUAGUUAAUUUCUAGUCCUAGUAUUGUUAUCCUGACUUUUUAUUCCCUGUUAGUAGUCCCUUUAGUAGAGCUCAAUCAUCUAUAGUAAGUUCCCCUUUGUCCUGCUGAUUGGUUGUGUGCCUUAUUAAAAUACAAAAAUACCAGAUCG
rnacentral:lncRNA from 1 species